rnacentral:rRNA from 1 species
UACGGGGGGGGCAAGCGUUGUUCGGAAUUACUGGGCGUAAAGGGCUUGUAGGUGGCCAACUAAGUCAGACGUGAAAUCCCUCAGCUUAACUGGGGAACUGCGUCUGAUACUGGAUGGCUUGAGUUUGGGAGAGGGACGCGGAAUUCCAGGUGUAGCGGUGAAAUGCGUAGAUAUCUGGAGGAACACCGGUGGCGAAAGCGGCUCACUGGAUCUUAUCUGACGCUGAGGCACGAAAGCCAGGGUAGCAAACGGG